CUCUACAAAUGAAAGCACAUCUCAAUACAUAUUUUUCCACUAAUAUCAUUCCUUGAGUUUAGCAAAAGUAGCGCAGAUUCCUCUAUGCCCUGCCCAUAAACUAUCAUGAAACUCCUUUAAUAAUUUUGGUUUUUCUUCCUUUUUGCCUAUCACUCGUUCUGGCAUCCCAAUUCCUUUCUUCGAUCUCUUACGAAUCCAUC
rnacentral:lncRNA from 1 species